UACGUAGGGUGCAAGCGUUGUCCGGAAUUAUUGGGCGUAAAGAGCUCGUAGGCGGUCUGUCGCGUCGGCUGUGAAAACCCGCGGCUCAACCGCGGGUCUGCAGUCGAUACGGGCAGGCUAGAGUUCGGUAGGGGAGACUGGAAUUCCUGGUGUAGCGGUGAAAUGCGCAGAUAUCAGGAGGAACACCGAUGGCGAAGGCAGGUCUCUGGGCCGAUACUGACGCUGAGGAGCGAAAGCGUGGGGAGCGAACAGG
rnacentral:rRNA from 1 species